rnacentral:misc_RNA from 1 species
AAAGAGGGCAUUCCAAAGUCUUGUUCUAAGCUCAAUGAACCAAGUUCAAAAUCUGGUUCCACUCAUAAUGCACCUAGUAUUUUGACUUCUGAAUUCACUUCCAUAAGCUUGAAGGAACAUUUUGGAGCUCUCAAUCCUGAUAAUAGGGACCACAAUUACAUUGUCAAAGAUGAUGACCAUGAUUCUAUUAAUUACUGUCUAGUGGAGCUAGGAGAAGCUAACUUACGUGAUAAGCCUCCCCCAAAGUCAGCUGAAGUUGCAAGCAGCGGUCAUGAUGAAGUUUCACUAAAUGGAGAAAUUCUCCAAGAAGUCCACACAGAAGUAAGUUUGAUUUCUGCUUCAGAAGUCCAUGAUAGUGAUUUUGGAUUCAACGGUGAAACAGUGGUGUCAAAUUGUCAAAUCAAUGCCACUGGUGAACAAUCAGAUGAACCCAAAUGCCAAAUCCCGAAGAAUUUAGGAGGAUUGAUUGCAGAUUACAAAGCAAAUUCUUCUGUUUCUGUAGCUGAACUGCCGGAAGAAUCACCUAAAGCUACUGAAGGAGAAUUUACUCCACAUGAAGAAUCUAAGUUCUGUUCUGCUGAUGCAGCACAAGAAAAGCAGAAAAAUAUUAUACUUCGGUACUUUAAAUACAAGCACAUGGUUUCCGGCGGUGCAACUCUACUUGAUGAAGGGCCAGACAAGGAAGAACAAGCAGAUGAUGCCAACAAGUCCUAUGGAAUGAACAAAGAUUGUUCUCAUCAAGGUUUUUCUCGGGACAUAGAUAUGGAGAAUCACAACGAAGGCAGCCAAAAGAUUGAACUCCAUCAGAUUGAAGACAUAAAGAUGGUUGAAGAAGCAAUUGAUAAAAUCCCACUUCCAGAUAUUCAAGAUGAGUCACCUGAUGAUCAUUCAGUCCCCAGUAAUGUAAUUCUACAUCAGGAGCACCUGGGAAAACCACCUGAUGGAGAAGGGGAAUUUUACAUCUCAACUUCCAUUGGUUGCGUGCCAAAGAAAGUUAUGGAGAAUCCAACAGAACAAAAGCAGAGCAGAGCUCAAUGCUGAAUCCAAAAGAACCACGCCUGUAUUCUGACAACAGUGCCACUGCAGAGAGAGAUAAAAACAGUCGAGGGAAAUAAACGUAAAUCACCAGUGUGUAAGAGCUGGAGCAAUCUGAAAAAGCUAUCCUUAUUAAGAGAUUAGUUAAGGCAUUGGAAAAGGUUAAAAAAUUCAAUCCACAGGAGCCUCAGUUCUUGCACUUGAACCCUGAGAAGGAGGGAGAGAAAGUUCAUCUAAGGCAUCAAGAUAUGGAAGACAGGAAAAAUCCUGAUGAAUGGAUGCCCGAUUAUGCACUUCAACAGGUUGUUGCUAAACUAACUCCUGCUCAGAAAAGAAAAGUGCAGUUGCUUGUGGAAGCUUCUGAGACCGUCAUUCCUACUAUUGAAAGGUCAAAUGCCCGUUGCAGCAGCUAGUAUAGAUGCAAAAUCCAUCAAGCCUGAAGUUAGUUUGUAAGGCAAGAAUAUAUCCCUUAGUAGACAUAAGAACAAGUGCAGAGCAUCCAAAAAUAAGACCAAACAUGGAUACGAUGAAAUGAAAAUAUAUUAAACUGCACAACCUGACCUAUUCUUUGUUAAAUAAAUGUGCAGGUAUGGUGACGAGAAGGUAUAUUUGAUGCUUAUUUCAAAUGGCUCUAUAGCAUCUUUAAAGGUUUCAGCAAAAUUCAUCAUGUCAUUUGGAGAUUAAACGUCAAGCAGAUAGAUUAGUAAUUUUUGGAGUUUCUAAGUACUUGUGGAGAAUGAAGAAAGUUUAUAGAGGGUGUGUGCUUGUAUAUAUAUCCUGUAGGGUGUAUUCUAUGUGUUAUUGAUACAGUUUCAGUGGAUUUUAGAUGAUAUACUUACAAUAUCUAAGCAUCAAAC